rnacentral:tRNA from 1 species
CCUCCCGUAGCUUAGUGGCGAGAGCGUGGGCCUUAUAAGCCCCGGGUCGCGGGUUCGAUUCCCGCCGGGAGGA